rnacentral:rRNA from 1 species
UACGUAGGGUGCGAGCGUUGUCCGGAAUUAUUGGGCGUAAAGAGCUCGUAGGCGGUGUGUCGCGUCGGCCGUGAAAACCUGCAGCUUAACUGUGGGCGUGCGGUCGAUACGGGCAUCACUGGAGUUCGGCAGGGGAGACUGGAAUUCCUGGUGUAGAGGUGAAAUUCGUAGAUAUCGGGAGGAACACCGGUGGCGAAGGCGGCGACCUGGGUAGAUACUGACGCUGAGGCGCGAAAGCGUGGGGAGCAAACAGG